rnacentral:lncRNA from 1 species
AUGAGCUGUGACCACUACAGCACCGUUCAUGUCAGGAAUACUUGAUUGCACCUGUUGACACCCCCCAGCCUGCGUUUACAGGAAGAUUCUCACAUCCUCCCUUCCUGGUGAAAACUUAAUAAACAAGGUGGUAGGGUUUCUGUUUUGGUGCAGAGGAGAAAUGAGAAUUAAUUAUCCGGGAAAAUUUUCUUUGGAAAGCAGAAGCUCUACAGUAGAGAAAAACGAAGUUGUUUUGACUGUCAACAUCUCAGAAAGAAAGUUGUGGUAGCGUGUGAUUAUUCAGGGAUGUAGCCUCCAGGGUUGGAAAGUACUGGUCAGUUGAAUGCAGCUUUAGGGUGCCGCAAAAAUACCCUCUGUGCCUCCAAGCUUGGCUUUGCAAAGCUUUCAAGAACUUCCCUUCAAGAACUUCCCAAGUCCUUUAAUCUCUAUUGUGAACUGGAUCUUUAUUUUCAUGUGUUAGAUAAAGUGAUGUUAGUUC